GAUUUCAACUGAAAAAGUCAUCAACAUCAAAGUUGUAUAACUCAUCAAGAUCCAUAACUUUUAUUUGGGUCAUUUCUUCAUCUGACAAAGCGAUUUGUAGCAUUGUUCACAAAAUGUACAUAUCUCUUAUAUGGUUUUAUAACCUAUAAGAGAGAUAUGUAAAUUUUGUGAACAUUGUUACUAUCACUUUGUCGAAUGAAGAAAUGACCAAAAUAAAAAUUAUAAAUACUGAUGAGUUAUACAACUUUAUUGUUGAUGACUUUUUCAAUUGAAAUC
rnacentral:pre_miRNA from 1 species